CUCAACCAAAUGAGAAGGGCCAUCAUUCUGUGGGGCCUGCCAUAUUUCCUCCAUGAAGAUCCUUCAAAGUUCCACAGGACUGCAGAGGAAUCCUCGAUCAAAUCUUCAUCCCAUCUCCAACUGGACUGAUGGUCCUCCAUUGGACCAUUGUGGGCUUAAGGGUUUAACUGGAGGCUCACAUUGCACCCCCUCACGCCACACCCCCAGUCUACAGGCCACAGCCGGACCCUUCUCACUAAAGCCCUGGAAGCCCGAUGUUGAUGACAUUGAUGAGUCUACAGCCAAACUAGCAGCUAGUUUUGCAGGAAACGCAGCAGUAGGCUACAGAAGUAGAGCAGACUGAUGAGGAAACAUCUUCACACAUGCAUCAUGCAUCUUCAGGGUUUCAGGAAACUCAGGUUGAGGGAGAAGCAGCUGGACCUUCAGGGCUUCAGGAGACAGUCAGUGUGAGUGAGGAUGAUCCUGAAGCAAGUCAGUGUAGGAGUGUAAUGGACAUGGAGAGUAAGCCAUACCAGCCUGAUCCAAAAUUCAUAGUAGGACAGCAACUUCCAAACAAGAUGUUACGGUUUCAGGUGAACUGGUACAGUCAGUAUCCAUGGCUUCACUAUAGUCCAACACUGAAAAAGGUUCUUUGUUUUGAAUGUGUCAAAGCAUACACCAUAAAAAAGACUACUUUGGAAAAAAAGAAUGACCCUGCCUUCUGAACAAAGGGUUUCAAUAAUUGGAAGAAUGCCACAGGUAGCUUUAGUCGCCACCAAGCCAGCAAAGCACACCAUCAUGCAGUACAAUUAAUGCACAGGAGCAAACUCCAGUUCCCACACAAAUAUCAAGUGCAUCGGAAGAGGCGAGGCACUGUCUGGAGGAAAUAAUGGGUGCUGUAAGGUAUCUGGCUAGGCAGAGAGUAGCAUUUCGAGGACAUGAGGCAAAUGAAGGGAAUUUCUACUACCUUGUGAAGUUGCUUACAAAUGUUGACCCUGUUUUUUUCGUCUUGGCUCACCUGUUGCCAUGAUUAUGCCAGUCCACAGUGCCAAAAUGAAUACUUAACCUUGCUUGGUAACACAAUUGUCAGAGGCAUUGUAGCAACAAUCAGGUCCUUACCAGUGGUACAGCUGUCAGUUAUAAUGGAUGGCACUCAGGAUAUACUGGGAAAAGAGCAAAUUUCCAUAUGUUUUAGAUAUGUGGGCCAAGACCUGGUGCAGCAGGAAGUCUUUGUGGAAUUGUAUGAGGUGCCAGGGACAACCGGUGAGCAGAUAGCCAAAAUAGCUAUUGAUGUGCUCUUGAGAUUGAAUAUUCUAGUAUCAGGCUAACGAGGUCAGACAUAUAAUGGCAGGAAAGUGCUCAGGGGCACAGGCAGUGUUGAAGAGAGAACAGCCAUUGGCUCGGUAUGUGCAUUGUGGUGCACAUUGUGUAAAUCUUAUAACACAAUGUGCUUGCAGUGCCUCUCCCCUAGUGGGUCCAUGAACUUGGAACUUCAAGGAAAUUCAAGGGACUAGUGCGUGGACAAGCUGUCGAUACAGUUCUUAGUCAGUAUGAGGCUGUGUUGUCUAGUUUAAGGAAAUGGCCUUGGGGGGUAGGGUGUGGGUUGAUGUGUCCCUAUCAAUGUUGAGGCAAAACCUACACCCCUGGUGUAUGGGUGUGU